GACGCACGCUGGCGGCAUGCCUAAUACAUGCAAGUAGAACGCAGUUGCGAACGGGUGAGUAACGCGUAGGCAACUGCCUUAUAGCGGGGGAUAACUAUUGGAAACGCUAGCUAAUUCCGCCUUCUGUGAGAUGGACUUGCGUUGUAUUAGCUAGUUGGUUAGUUAACGGCUCACAAAGUCGACGAUACAUCGCCGACCUGAUAGGGUGAUCGGCAACACGUGGACAUAGGCACGGCACAGACUCCCACGGGAGGCAGCAGUGGGGAAACUUCGGCAAUGGGCGGAAGGCUGACCGAGCAACGGCGCGUGAGUGAAGAAGGUUUUCGGAUCGUAAAGCUCUGUUGUGAGAGAAGCGGUAACUAACCAGAAAGGGACGGCUAACUACGUGCCAGCAGCCGCGGUAAUUC
rnacentral:rRNA from 1 species